rnacentral:rRNA from 1 species
GCGGUGAAAUGCGUAGAUAUGUGGAAGAACACCAGUGGCGAAAGCGGCUUGCUAGAUCGUAACUGACGUUGAGGCUCGAAAGUAUGGGUAGCAAACGGGAUUAGAUACCCCGGUAGUCCAUACCGUAAACGAUGGGUGCUAGUUGUUAAGAGGUUUCCGCCUCCUAGUGACGUAGCAAACGCAUUAAGCACCCCGCCUGAGGAGUACGGCCGCAAGGCUAAAACUUAAAGGAAUUGACGGGGACCCGCACAAGCGGUGGAGCAUGUGGUUUAAUUCGAAGAUACGCGAAAAACCUUACCAGGUCUUGACAUACCAAUGAUCGCUUUUGUAAUGAAAGCUUUUCUUCGGAACAUUGGAUACAGGUGGUGCAUGGUCGUCGUCAGCUCGUGUCGUGAGAUGUUGGGUUAAGUCCCGCAACGAGCGCAACCCUUGUUAUUAGUUGCCAGCAUUUAGUUGGGCACUCUAAUGAGACUGCCGGUGAUAAACCGGAGGAAGGUGGGGACGACGUCAGAUCAUCAUGCCCCUUAUGACCUGGGCAACACACGUGCUACAAUGGGAAGUACAACGAGUCGCAAACCGGCGACGGUAAGCUAAUCUCUUAAAACUUCUCUCAGUUCGGACUGGAGUCUGCAACUCGACUCCACGAAGGCGGAAUCGCUAGUAAUCGCGAAUCAGCAUGUCGCGGUGAAUACGUUCCCGGGUCUUGUACACACCGCCCGUCAAAUCAUGGGAGUCGGAAGUACCCAAAGUCGCUUGGCUAACUUUUAGAGGCCGGUGCCUAAGGUAAAAUCGAUGACUGGGAUUAAGUCGUAAC